rnacentral:rRNA from 1 species
AUACGUAGGGGGCGAGCGUUGUCCGAAUUUACUGGGCGUAAAGCGCGCGUAGGCGGACCUUUAAGUCGGGUGUGAAAUCUCGGGGCUCAACUCCGAAACUGCACUUGAAACUGGGGGUCUUGAGGUAUGGAGAGGGAAGUGGAAUUCCUGGUGUAGCGGUGAAAUGCGUAGAUAUCAGGAGGAACACCCGUGGCGAAGGCGGCUUCCUGGCCAUAUCCUGACGCUGAGGUGCGAAAGCCAGGGUAGCGAACGGGAUUAGAUACCCUGGUAGUCCUGGCCGUAAACGAUGGAUACUAGGUGUUAGAGGUAUCGACCCCUCUAGUGCCGCAGCUAACGCAAUAAGUAUCCCGCCUGGGGAGUACGGCCGCAAGGUUGAA